AUUGCAACUGCAGACCGUUACCUGGCAUGCUGGCUGCUACCUCGCUCACUCUUGUCAGAGUCGGAGCUACAGUCAGUGCCUUCAGCUCUGAGCUCAGGCAUACCGGUCCCUGUUUUUGCAGUUAAGGACUCUAAAGUGUUGUGACGUGUUCAUCAAGUUUUUCUCAACCAUAAGUUAACAAUUCCAGUAAUUGUCAUCUCUCAGUCCUGAUUAAACCUAAUUGAUUUCACUAGUUUUUGACCCAUCAUGUGUUUGGGUUUCUUCUCCCCAGUCCCUGGCUCUACCUCUUCUGCCACAAACGUCAGCAUGGUGGUAUCUGCCGACCCUUUGUCCAGCGAGAGGGCAGAGAUGAACAUCCUAGAAAUCAACCAGGAAUUGCGCUCCCAGCUGGCAGAGAGCAAUCAGCAGUUCCGAGACCUCAAAGAGAAAUUCCUUAUAUCUCAAGCUACUGCCUACUCCCUGGCCAACCAGCUGAAGAAAUACAAAAAGCAAAAUGAUCUUGAAGAGGUGAAAGGACAAGAAACAGUUGCUCCCAGGCUCAGCAGGGGACCACUGAGAGUAGACAAGUAUGAAAUCCCCCAGGAGUCACUGGAUGGAUGUUGCUUGACUCCUUCCAUCCUUCCUGACCUGACUCCCUCCUACCACCCUUAUUGGAGCACUUUGUACUCUUUUGAAGACAAGCAAGUCAGCUUGGCUCUUGUAGACAAAAUUAAAAAGGAUCAAGAGGAGGUAGAAGACCAAAGCCCACCAUGCCCCAGGCUCAGCCAGGAGCUGCCAGAGGUGAAGGAGCAGGAAGUCCCAGAGGACUCCGUGAAUGAAGUUUACUUGACUCCCUCAGUUCACCAUGAUGUGUCUGACUGCCACCAGCCUUAUAGCAGCACCUUGUCCUCAUUGGAGGAUCAGCUUGCCUGCUCUGCUCUGGAUGUAGCCUCCCCCACCGAGGCGGCCUGUCCCCAAGGGACUUGGAGUGGAGACUUGAGCCACCACCGGUCAGAGGUUCAAAUUUCACAGGCACAGCUGGAACCAAGCACCCUGGUGCCCAAUUGUCUGCGACUACAGCUGGAUCAAGGGUUCCACUGUGGGAACGGCUUGCCCCAGCGGGGCCUUUCCUCCAUGACCUGCAGCUUCUCAGCCAAUGCUGAUUCUGGGAACCAAUGGCCCUUCCAAGAGCUGGUUUUAGAGCCCUCUCUGGGGAUGAAGAACCCUCCCCAGCUGGAAGAUGAUGCACUUGAAGGCUCAGCAAGCAACACACAAGGGCGUCAAGUCACUGGCCGGAUUCAUGCCUCCCUUGUCCUGAUACUGAAGAUCAUCAAAAGAAGACUCCCGUUCAGCAAGUGGAGACUGGCAUUCAGAUUCGCUGGCCCGCAUGCUUAGAGUGCAGAGAUACCAAAUACUGCUGGAAGGAUGCAAAGGAUGAUAGGAUGAAAGAAUGUCACAAAAAGCAGCUUUUCCACUUGAUAAAAACAACUAAAACGCAAAGCAAGUUCAAGUCCCAACACAAUACUGCAGGGGUCCUUCACUGAGGAUUGAAUUUCAGACACAGAAUACUCUUGAUGACUUCAAGCCACUAUGCUCCUUUG
rnacentral:lncRNA from 1 species